AUCGCGGAGGGCAGGCGCGCGGUCGCUGUGGACUUUGGCGUCGGACGGCGGCGAUGAGAGUGAAAAAAAACAUCCUCCGUGGCCGGCGAGAGGAAGCCGCGUCGCCAGGACGGUGAAUCCUGCAGCUUCCCGCGCAGGACGGCGAGGGAGCGAUCUGUGUUCACACAUCAUGCCUCCUGAUACUGACUUUUGUGACUCGAUGAAGACUGUUUCCAUCAGAUGCUGUCACAGCCAGUUUUAAACUGAAGAUGGACCGAAGACUUCAGCCUCCUCUGGUUAAUGGCGUGGUGGUAAUGUAGUGAAGCAGGUCCUCUCAGUUUAUGUUCCAGCUUAUUACACUUCACAAUGUGUUUUGUGUAACCAGACCUGUCUUGGCCCUGUGGACAGAGGACUCAUUCUGCCACUGUCCUGUGUCAUUAAGUCCCUGUGCUGUGCCGACCUGACCUCUGUGGCGUGAGUGACGUCCCUGGCUCUGACCCCGUCCCCCGCAUGUCUCACUGUCUGUCCUCCGUCCUCCACGCUCUGUCUUGUCUGUCAGCUCGGCUCACGGUCACACCCCGCCGUCCUGCCUGCCUCGGAGAACAUUCAACGCUGUCGGUGAGUUUGGUAUGGAUCACGUAAAAACCAUCGACCGUUGAUUGUGCCCCGUGGCUCGCUCUGAUGACGUCCGGAAGUAGAGGAGGAGAAAAUGAACAAAAGGGGCAAGUGGGCGCAUGCAAAUCCAAAGAUGAAGACACACACAUGCACAGAAGUGACACUGUGUUUCCGCUGUACCCAAAGACCCAAAGGUCACAAUCAACAUUCAUUGCUGUCGCUGGGUUGGACUUUGUAGAAAAGCUCACUGAACAAUGAGUGCAACUGUGGCCCAGAUCUGCCCGACUCGUGUCUCAACCAAUCAGCCGACCGGAUGUGAAGCACUCUGAUUUCUUUAUUUAUAUAUACUUCUUGUUUUUUUAACUUCUAUUUCCUCCUUCUCUUCCUCCCUCCCCGGCGCGGGGAGUCUUCAGGGGAACAGAGAAAAAGGGAGAGAGACACACACACACACACACA